rnacentral:rRNA from 1 species
UACGAAGGGAGCUAGCGUUGUUCGGAAUCACUGGGCGUAAAGCGCACGUAGGCGGAUGUGUCAGUCAGGGGUGAAAUCCCGGAGCUCAACUUCGGAACUGCCCUUGAUACAGCACGUCUUGAGUCCGGAAGAGGUGGGUGGAAUUCCUAGUGUAGAGGUGAAAUUCGUAGAUAUUAGGAAGAACACCGGUGGCGAAGGCGGCCCACUGGGUCAAGAUUGACGCUCAUGCACGAAAGCGUGGGGAGCAAACAGG